rnacentral:rRNA from 1 species
UACGUAGGGUGCGAGCGUUGUCCGGAUUUAUUGGGCGUAAAGAGCUCGUAGGCGGUUUGUCGCGUCGGCCGUGAAAUCUCCACGCUUAACGUGGAGCGUGCGGUCGAUACGGGCAGACUUGAGUUCGGUAGGGGAGACUGGAAUUCCUGGUGUAGCGGUGAAAUGCGCAGAUAUCAGGAGGAACACCGGUGGCGAAGGCGGGUCUCUGGGCCGAUACUGACGCUGAGGAGCGAAAGCGUGGGGAGCGAACAGA